CCUACGGGAGGCAGCAGUGGGGGAUAUUGCACAAUGGGGGAAACCCUGAUGCAGCGACGCCGCGUGAGUGAAGAAGUAUUUCGGUAUGUAAAGCUCUAUCAGCAGGGAAGAAAAUGACAGUACCUGACCAAGAAGCCCCGGCUAACUACGUGCCAGCAGCCGCUGUAAUACGUAGGGGGCAAGCGUUAUCCGGAUUUACUGGGUGUAAAGGGAGCGUAGUCGGAAGCACAAGUCUGGAGUGAAAUGCCUGGGCUUAACCCCGGAAUUGCUGUGGAAACUGUGCAGCUAGAGUGCAGGAGAGGUAAGUGGAAUUCGUAGUGUAGCGGUGAAAUGCGUAGAUAUUAGGAAGAACACCAGUUGCGAAGGCAGCUUACUGGACUGUAACUGACGUUGAGGCUCGAAAGCGUGGGGAGCAAACAGGAUUAGAUACCCCUGUAGUC
rnacentral:rRNA from 1 species